AGAAUCAACGCUGGCGGCGUGCCUAACACAUGCAAGUCGAACGCGAAAGUCCCGCAAGGGAUGAGUAGAGUGGCAAACGGGUGAGUAACACGUGGGUGACCUGCCCUCGAGCGGGGGAUAACGUCCGAAAGGGACGCUAAUACCGCAUGACAUCCUGCCUUUGAACAGGCGGAGAUCAAAGCUGGGGAUCGCAAGACCUAGCACUCGAAGAGGGGCCCGCGCCUGAUUAGCUAGUUGGUGAGGUAACGGCUCACCAAGGCGACGAUCAGUA
rnacentral:rRNA from 1 species